rnacentral:rRNA from 1 species
GGGGAAUAUUGGACAAUGGGGGAAACCCUGAUCCAGCAAUGCCGCGUGAAUGAAGAAGGCCUUAGGGUUGUAAAGUUCUUUCACCUGUGAAGAUAAUGACGGUAGCAGGAGAAGAAGCCCCGGCUAACUCCGUGCCAGCAGCCGCGGGAAGACGGAGGGGGCUAGCGUUGUUCGGAAUGACUGGGUGUAAAGGGCGCGUAGGCGGUGUUUUAAGUGAGGCGUGAAAGCCCUGGGCUCAACCCAGGAGG